UAGCCCACUUGCAUAGGUUACGGCGUCCUGUUACCGCAGAAGUAUAGACUAGGCUUAAAACAAACCAUUACGCAAGAGCGAAAGGGAGGAGGGGUCGGAGAAGGAGGGAUUCGGGAUCAGCAGUCUCGGCGAUUUCUAGGGAGUCCAGAUGGGUGGCUGAUAUCCGAGGGAGACGGCGGCUGCGACCCAGUGAUGUCCCUGUAAUAAUGCCACCUCUUGCGGCGUUGAGAUUCUGCUUUCUGUGCUUGUUGGGCUGCAGUGUACGGGGAGGCUACACCAAAGCGGUAAACGUGCAGGAUGUGUCUAUAAAAGUGCAAGUUUUUGAUAAUGGUGACCUCUCUCCUCUGGCGGAGGCUGCAGUGGGCGUGUACGUGAACCAGUCCUGGUUGGCUGCAGGAACCACGGAUAAAGAUGGAGUAGCACUGAUCACUUUCAAGUACCGCCUGGGAACACGACUGAUAGUCAGUGCUGCAAAAUAUGGCUUUGUGACAAACUCUGCUCCCUGGCAUGUCAACAAAACACCAUUGUUUACAUCGGUGUGCCUAUAUCUCCUUCCGGAGCGGCCAGCUACCCUAAUGCUGUUUGAUGAUGUUGUGCAAAUCCUAUUGGGAUCACCAGGUGCCAAGAGUCAACCAUGUGUCCAGUUCCAAAGGAAGAAUGUUAGGCUUCCAGAAAACACUUCGUACAGUGAUCUGUCUGCCUUUUUAACAACAACCACCGAUGAAGUGGAAAGAUUCCCCUAUCUCUUGGGCUAUGAAACUGAUAAAACAGUCAACCGCUCCAGAUUUGAACUGACUCCUGUGGCUGCCAUCAGCAUUCACCUGUUCACCAGCAAUGGCUCUAACGUCAAAGUCUCAGGCCCCAUCCAGGUUUCUAUCCCUCUGCCCACCGACAGCCUUGUGACAACUGUGAGGGAAAUCCCUGCCUGGAGGUUUGACAAGAAGAUUGGGGCUUGGGUCAGUAGUGGAACGGGAAUGAUCAAGAGAGAUGGGAGCCAGCUCACCUGGUCGUACCUCGCUCCCCAGCUGGGCUACUGGGUAGCAGCAAUGCUUCCUUUAACCCAAGCUGCAGUCAGUCCAUCAAGGUUCGGAGACAUCACCACCUACCACACCAUAUUCUUGCUCACCAUUCUUGGGGCUCUGGCUCUCUUGGUCCUAGUUCUGGUGUGUUUGCUUCUCUAUUACUGCAGGAGAAGAUGCCUAAAGCCACGGCAACAGCACAGGAAGUUGCAGAUCGCUUCCACUUUGGACAGCUCCAAGAAGGACCAAGCCACCUCCAUGUCCCAUAUCAAUUUGAUCAGUACCAGCCAUUUGGAGUCGGUGUCAUCCAAUGGAGAUAUGGAUGUUCACACACCUAUCUUGAAGUCUGCCUUUAGUACAUCUCGAGAGUUUGAGAGCUCUCGAGAAGAGUUCUUCAAGCAGAUCCCAUAUAGAGAUCCAGGUCCAAAAAUGAGGCAUAUCAACAAAGCAUCCACUGAUACAUUGGCCCAUCGAGGAAAUUCCAAGGAAGAUUACCACAGGACAGUGGAGAGCUUUCCGUUGAAAGCUGCGAGGUCUAUGGAUGCCUCAGGAGAGCUGGAGCCACCUUUAGCGGAUGACUACAGACACAGCUAUAGUUCGAUGGUUUCCCAGCAGCCAUCUGACGAAAAGGGAAGAGAAGUUCAAGCCCGCCGCAUUUUGGCUGAAAGUAAACUUUGUGCCAAUGAUCCACCCUCUCCUCCCCCACUGCCACCACCCUUUGAAUCUCUCGUUGGUCACAAAAUGGAUAAUAAGCCUUCGGAAUACAUGAUGUCUCAGUCUGUUGAUCAUCUGGCCAGGCCCACAACAUUGUCCCAGCCAGGCCAACUAAUCUUCUGUGGUUCUAUUGAUCACAUGAAAGACAACAUGUACAGGAAUGUAAUGCCUACUUUAGUCAUUCCUGCCCAUUAUGUGGGAUUAACUUCUGAUUAUCCAUGUAUGGACCAGUCAGCAGGCGGCCCAACAGAGCAGCUGGAGAUGAAGGGAGUUCAGAUGGGAGUCCCCAUGUCCCACCAGCCUGUACCCCAGCAGUAUCAGCACCCACAAGUUCAACAAUCAACCCCUCAGUCAGAUGAUGGAGAAGACAAAGCAUGGGGCCCCCACUCUUCUUCCAUGAGUGGUCCAAUGGCAGUAUUACUGAAUGAAUCGGCAAUGGCACAGAUGAAUGGAGAAUUGCAGGCACUGACCGAAAAGAAGUUCUUGGAGCUCGGGGUAAAGCCUCAACAUCCCAGGGCCUGGUUUGUGUCAUUAGAUGGACGAUCCAAUGCUCACGUUCGGCAUUCCUACAUUGACCUGCAGACCGGGGAGAGGAUUGGGAGCAACGACGCCAGCUUAGAUUCUGGUGUAGAUGUAAACGAGGCAAAGCCUAGUAAAAAGCUGAAGGAGGAGCGCGACAGGCACGGACCAGCCAAUGUGGCCUACAGCAAACUGGUUUACGUGGAUGAAAAUGAGCAAAGCAGCAGUGAAUGCAGAACAGCAGUCUGUUCGCCAGAGGACAACUCACUCACUCCUCUACUUGAAGAGAAUUCCGAGCACAGGGAAGCCAUCCAUCGACAAGAGCACAGCAGAGGGAACAGCAUGAGAAGCAGUACCAGUGAAACUCGCAGGGAUUCCACCACCAGCCCUGAGGAGGAGAUGCAAGAUCAGUCUGAAGGGGCAGAUGACCAAGGUGAGAACAAAAAGAGCCCCUGGCAGAAAAGAGAGGAGCGGCCACUGAUGGUGUUUAACCUGAAAUGAACAGUGGACUUUUCCAAGACCUCGAAUCGGACCUUCACAAGUUUUUCGAAAAUGCAUCAGCAUCCCAUGAAAAAAUCUGAGCACAAACUAAGGAAAUCAAUGAAGUUUAAAGCAACAAGCCCAACAGGCUUCUUGUAGUGGAUCCCUGUCUGACAAAGCAGCAAACUCAUUCUCCCAGAAUUUGUGCAACUUUAUAUUGCUGAAACAAUGGUUAAGAAAGCGGAAAGAAUACCAGUGAUAAAACUGCACAUUUUCUGUAAAGGCAGUGAGGACAUGUGUUCCUGUUCUCUUUAGAAUGUCUUACUGAGUUUUUGUAAAAAAAAUGUCAUUGUGGUACCAACCCACACAAUAAACUCAUUGAAUGUUGUUUUUCCUGAGGAAGAUGAAAAGACUAUUUAAAUAUUCAAUCCUUUUUGUUACUUUAAUUGGAACAACCCUACCAAAUGAAGCAUUUUCAUGCUUGCCGAUCAGUAAUUUUACAUGACAUGACUUUUUUGAAUAGAAGCCUUUUUGGAAGGUAGAUUUUCUUUUCCUUUUUUGUGUGCUGUACUUCCCUUAACUUGACCCAAAACCAACUCCAGUAGCAGACCAUUUAGAUCUGGUUCAGAACUCUCCAAGUGCCUUCUUUAUGUCUAAGUUGAGCAAAAAAAGGAGGGAAAGCAACACUUUGGCUGUACUGACUUAAGAUUGGAGAGCAAUGACGUGGAGCCUAAAGUUAGGAAGUCAGAGUUUCUACCUAUUUUAUUAUGUUCAAUAUGUGCAGAAACAGCUGAAGAAAAAUAUCCCUUUUACCACUGUGAAUUUUCCUGGACUGUAGUCCAUAUGCCAGAUAGGUGAAGCUGUCCUGCAUGCAACUUUUUCACAAACUAUUCUGUACUCAAAGUUGCAUCAGAAAUUAUUGUUUAAUUAAUAUAUAUAUAUUGAAAAAUGACUAUUAGGCUGAAGCCUUUUUGGAUUACCAGGCUCACUAGUGACGUGUUUGAUUUUUUUUGUGUAGAUGAGCUAAUUUUAAUAACAGCUGUAAUCCUAGCCAAGUACCCACUGAGCACAAAAUUGGUGUGGCUGAGUAGCUGGGUGUGGAAUGCAUGAGAUUUGUUGAAAAAGAUUGGGCUGAACUCCCAGUCCUUUGUCUGAAGAUCAGGAUAUGGGGUGGUGAUAGGGAUCAGUGCCCUAAAAAUGGUGGCCAUUCACAACUGCCCUGAUGGCAUGGCACUGGAUAUUGAAAGCCAUGGAGAGGGGGGAAUCCCAAACCUACUUCAUACGAUAUUUGGGAGGCUAUAAUGCUUCUGGGACAGUAUGUGGCUUUUUUCUGUACAUGGCUAGCUGGAGCAUGUUGUUGAGGGCUAGUAAGAGUUUUGAUGAAAGUGACCUUCCAUCAGUUUGGCCAGGACCUUUGCUGCUGUGAGAUUUGUUCACUACCUUCCAUCAACGCCCUUCCAAAGUGGCUCGAUUGCCCUUUGAUAUAGAGACUGUCUAGGACAUCAUGGGGGGAUCCAAGUUCAAGUUGCAGCUUGCUGUCCCAAUGCAGAUGUGACCUGGUCCUCAAAAUGGCUUGUGUCUCUCUCCACUGCUCAACACAGGAGUUCUGCCCACAGCUGUUCUUCUUGACAACCUGUGGAGUGAAUGAAAUUCCCUGAAUUCCCUUAUGGUUGGCUCUGUUCUGAUGAGGACCUAAGGAUGUGUCAUCGAUCGGCGGUUUUGACUGAAAGUGGCUGCAGCUUCUUCAUUCUUAUCUGUACCCCUUACUUGCUGGGCCGUCACAUCAUUGAGAGUGGGAUAUUCAAUGACCUUUCUCUUCCGUUCAACUGUUCUCCAUCAUUCUUGAGUUUUGAUCUGGUCCGUUGGUUGUGUGAUCACCAUGCUCCCUUCACAAUUUAACGUGUGUGGGAUCCUGUGUUGUAAUUCUAUUUAGCAAUAGCUGUAAGCUGCAGGAAAUAGUUUUGACAUUUUUUGUUUCUUUUAUGGAUCAAGUAUCAUCCUGAUAGGUAACUGGAUACAGUCCACUAACAUUUUCAUCUGGUAGACUUGUGUUCAAAACCCUGUCCAUGCCAAUGGGAAGAAAAAUCUCUCUCUUGCCAUCUGAAUGAAUGCAGAGCUCAUAACUGCAACUUGCAGAGCAAACUUUAAUAAUGCUCAAGUCAAAGAGCACAUGGAAGGGGUAUGUGGGAAAUUGAAUUUGCCAAUUUAACUCCGAUAUAAACUUUAGUCCAUACCAGAGCUGGUGGAGGUAGUGUUGUAAAAAUUAGUGGUCACCCAGUAUUGAUAUCCCUUAAAUUGAAAAAUAAAAAUCAGAAAACGAUUUGAUUAGCAAUGCAUGUAAUGUGAAAUGGAAUCGAACAUGAGUUUACAACACUUCAUGAGAAAGAUGCAAGUGAUUUUCAGAUUUAUUAUCUACUCAUUAGUUUAUUUCUAGUUAAAGCUUUAAAUCUUUCAAUGAGAAUGACUUUCUUAAACACACUCACAUUACCAGAUUGGAGUAGGCAUCCAAUGCAUACCCAGUUUUCACUGACUUAAUGCAUUCUAAUAGAUUGUUGAGGUUAGAAAGACAAUCUAUAAGUGUCAUGUUCCCAAUUUGAUAGAUUCAAAAUAAACAGAGCCUUCUUAAUUAAAGUAUAAAAAUACAGAACUUAAAUAUUGAAUAUGAUUAUUCAGCAAGUAUUUAAAUACCCAUUCCCAAUAGCUGAAGUGAUCACUUCUUUGGGGAAAAACAAAUAAAAACAAAAAUAGAUUUGACUUACUUUUCAUUUUGUAUCGACCAGAUUUUGAACUGGUGUCCAACCACCUUUGCUGCUGUUGAUAUGGUAAAAUGCUGACGGAAGUAGAGAAGAGUAGCUUGUCUCCUAUAGCUGUGAUAAUCCUGUGCUUCAUAAUAAUUGGUUCUCUUUUGCAUCCUGAAGCCAUGGAGUCCAGUGCAGGGGUGUGAAUCAGAGGCAGCAUUGUAGGUCAAGCCCUAAGCCAGUUAUACCCAAACUAAAUUAGGAAAAGUGGCUUAAGAUGUUAAAAUAGUUUGAUUUGAUAGAGACUUGAUGAGCUAGUAGUAGUUGAGACCAGCCUAUUUAUAUAUUUCAUAUUUUUAUCCAGUAGAUUUACACACAAGCAUAUAUUUUAUUACAUUGGCCAUUGUAUCUCCCCAGUGAAAAUCUAUUCCCAGCUCUUGAGAUGUUUCAAUUGAAUGGAAAUUUCUAAUAUUCUCUUGAAAAUAUUUUUUUCAGACUGAACUUGUGAUCGUAAGCAAUAUUUGUUCAUGAUUGAAAUGCUGACCAGUGGCAAGGCUGUCCGCCUCUUUGCAAAGCAGCGCCCAUACCACACAGACCCAGAAGGCAGGAAUAUUGCUUGUGGAAUCAGAACAUUGAUUUUCCAGUCCUGGUUCAAACCUGUGUACUUCUAGCUGUAGUGGAAUAUUGCAAACUCAGUCCCUAAUAGACUACAGUGUCAGAAGUAUUUUAAGGAAUGUAUAUUUUUAACCUGAUUUUCUCUUUUAAAAAAAAGUAAUUCAACAUCUACCUUUCCUGUUAAUGCACAUAUUAAACAAUGUAAUUUUAGGCGCAAGACAAGAACUACUUUUUAAGGGUUUUUGGUAUUGUAAUUGUGAAUGCUUUUUUUCUAAGCUAAUAGACAUUGUGCCAUUAGUUCACAUCUCCAUUGGAGAGUUCAUGUCAUUGAGUUUCGAUAUUCUGCCACAACUAAGAUAAGAUGAAUGAUCCGGGACUGUUUUUACUGAAUAUGUUGUAUGUGUGGCUACAUUUUAAACUGAUUAUUAGUGCUAGUAACUUGGUGUCUCUUAUUUGACUCUGGGCCACAUUUUUUUAACAUGAUGUGGUCUCGAAUAGAGAUGUGUGCUUGCUUCCAGUUUGCUCUGAUAUUUUCAAAGAAAACAUGGUCGAAAUUCUGUGCAAUCUUUUUGCUUGUUCCUAAAGUAAAAUUGUUAAAAUAAAGCUUAUU